rnacentral:lncRNA from 1 species
GAAGCUUCCAGACAUGCAAAAUAUCUCUGCAACACUAAGCACUUCUUAAGCCAGCAUCAAAGGCCCAACCCCAUAAGGAAUAUAUCACAGCAUCACAGCAAACAUCUGGAAAAGGGGUGGUGUCCCAGCACCAUUGCGGAGAGAGCUGAGGAUGGGGGCUGAGUCCUACCUUGGAUUCAGGCUUGCCGUGGGAUCCAGAGGAUCUCUUGGCAUCUCUGGUCUUGGUGCCCUCCUCUAAGGAGUAGUGUGUACUCUGCGGAGGCCAUGGAAUCAGUGAAGACCUGUCAGCUUGAGGGAUCAUUUAGAAGGCAGGCUGAAGGCACUGUGGAUGUGAUUUCAUCUGAGGAUGUUGGCCUGGGCUUCCCAGCAGUCACCCUUGAUUGUGCUUGGGCCCUGUCCCUGUGGAGCAGCAGCCACCUACACUCAGAUUAAAAGCUCAAUAUUUCUCAAGCCAGCAGACCCUUGGUCGUGCUGCUGAGGCUCUCUGAGUCUCAGGUUUCUCAUGUAUAGAAGAAGGGACCACUUUAAGAUCGUAGGAGAGAGCGUCCCUCACAGGAAGCUUGUGAACAGGAUUAAGGAUGUAUCUCAUGGGUAGAGCACUUGCCUAGCUUGUAUGAUCUUUUCCAUUGGGAAGAAGGGAAAGGAAAGAGAAGGGAUGGGAAGGAAAGUGAAGGGGAGGGACUCAGGAAAUGGAGGCAUGAGGGUCAGGAAUUCAAAGUCAUCUUUGGCUGUGUAAUGAGAUUGAAGUAAACCUCCCUCGAGAAGAAAAAUGAGGAAGAAAAAGGAGGAGGAAGAAAGAAAGAAAGAAGCAGAUAAAUAAAUAAAGACAGGUGGGUGACUACAGGUCACAUUGCAAGGAUGAAUCGAGUCGUCCGGGGGCAAGGCCUAGAGUGUCAUGAAGACCAAGGUGCAUCCUCCAUGCACGGUGUAGCUGAGAAGGAGGACCUGGCAGGGCUCUGUGACUGGGAAACAGCUGAGUUCCUUCCUGUUUCUGCUGCAAACCAGGGCAAAGCCAGCUGAACCUAGCCUUUUGCAGCAGGGACUUCCUGCUGGACUGAUCUUCUGAGACAAAGUGUGACCCUUGGUCUCUUCCAAUGGAUGAUGGAACGCCAUCUCAUCCUCUGACCAGAGGAUCAAAGACUGCCCCAAAAGUCCCAUACUGGAUCCAUGUGUUGCACCCUAGGCUGGAGCAGAUAAAAUGGAUCAGGAAGGGACAACAGCUCUGCCAGCUCCCAGCCAUAAUGCUGUCCCCAAUGGCUUCAGUGACAGAGGCAGCAGUGGGGGGAUGACAGGUGAGUAGGUGUCUAAGCAUGGCACCAACAGAGUCUAGGCUGACAGAAUGGCUCAGGUGACCCAAAGGUACCAGACAUGGGGCCCAGAGACUUGCUGGGAUCACAUAGCCGGUGCGUGGUGAA